rnacentral:rRNA from 1 species
UACGUAGGUGGCAAGCGUUGUCCGGAUUUACUGGGCGUAAAGAGCGCGCAGGCGGUCGUUCAAGUCGCGUGUGAAAGCCCCCGGCUCAACUGGGGAGGGUCACGCGAUACUGAUCGACUCGAAGGCAGGAGAGGGUAGUGGAAUUCCCGGUGUAGUGGUGAAAUGCGUAGAUAUCGGGAAGAACACCCGUGGCGAAGGCGGUUCUCUGGGACGGUACUGACGCUGAGACGCGAAAGCGUGGGGAGCGAACAGG